rnacentral:rRNA from 1 species
CAUGCAAGUCGAACGCUCACCUUCGGGUGGGAGUGGCAGACGGGUGAGUAACACGUGGGAACGUACCCUUUGGUUCGGGACAACUCUGGGAGACUGGAGCUAAUACCGGAUACGCCCUUUUGGGGAAAGGUUUACUGCCGAAGGAUCGGCCCGCGUCUGAUUAGCUAGUUGGUGGGGUAACGGCCUACCAAGGCGACGAUCAGUAGCUGGUCUGAGAGGAUGAUCAGCCACACUGGGACUGAGACACGGCCCAGACUCCUACGGGAGGCAGCAGUGGGGAAUAUUGGACAAUGGGCGCAAGCCUGAUCCAGCCAUGCCGCGUGAGUGAUGAAGGCCUUAGGGUUGUAAAGCUCUUUUAUCCGGGACGAUAAUGACGGUACCGGAGGAAUAAGCCCUGGCUAACUUCGUGCCAGCAGCCGCGGUAAUACCAAGGGGGCUAGCGUUGCUCGGAAUCACUGGGCGUAAAGGGCGCGUAGGCGGCGUUUUAAGUCCGGGGUGAAAGCCUGUGGCUCAACCACAGAAUGGCCUUCGAUACUGGGACGCUUGAGUCUGGUAAAGGUUGGUGGAACUGCCGAUGUAAAGGUGAAAUUCCUAGAUAUUC